rnacentral:rRNA from 1 species
UACAGAGGGUGCAAGCGUUGUCCGGAAUCACUGGGCGUAAAGGGCGCGUAGGUGGCCUGAUAAGUAGGAGGUGGAAUCCUGGGGCUUAACCUCAGGGCUGCCUUCUAGACUGUCCGGCUCGAGCACAGUAGAGGCAGGUGGAAUUCCCGGUGUAGCGGUGGAAUGCGUAGAGAUCGGGAAGAACAUCGGUGGCGAAGGCGGCCUGCUGGGCUGUUGCUGACACUGAGGCGCGACAGCGUGGGGAGCAAACAGG